GGCUUCGAAGCUCAGCUUGUAGAGCUCCUGCUGCGUUGAGGCAUGGUGUUUCUGUCGAUGGUUCGAAUCCAACCGAAGCCC